CCCUUGGAUGACGAAGAGAUGGUCUCGUACAUCCUGACUGGCCUCAACUACGACUACAACCCCCUCGUGUUGGCACUUGUAUCGCGAGUGGAACCAAUAUCAGUUGGUGAGCUUUAUACUCAGCUGCUGAGUUUUGAGA